GACGAACGCUGGCGGCGUGCCUAAUACAUGCAAGUUGAGCGCUGAAGGUUGGUACUUGUCCCAACUGGAUGAGCAGCGAACGGGUGAGUAACGCGUGGGGAAUCUGCCUUUGAGCGGGGGACAACAUUUGGAAACGAAUGCUAAUACCGCAUAAAAACUUUAAACACAAGUUUUAAGUUUGAAAGAUGCAAUUGCAUCACUCAAAGAUGAUCCCGCGUUGUAUUAGCUAGUUGGUGAGGUAAUGGCUCACCAAGGCGAUGAUACAUAGCCGACCUGAGAGGGUGAUCGGCCACAUUGGGACUGAGACACGGCCCAAACUCCUACGGGAGGCAGCAGUAGGGAAUCUUCGGCAAUGGACGAAAGUCUGACCGAGCAACGCCGCGGGAGUGAAGAAGGUUUUCGGAUCGUAAAACUCUGUUGGUAGAGAAGAACGUUGGUGAGAGUGGAAAGCUCAUCAAGUGACGGUAACUACCCAGAAAGGGACGGCUAACUACGUG
rnacentral:rRNA from 1 species